GCAUAAGAAUGAAAUAAAACUCCUUUUUAUUUCAACAUGUAAGGAUGUUGGGAUGAAGAGUCCUAGAGAUGUUGGACUCUUCCAUAGUUGUCUUACCUUCAUAAUUUUCACGCCCAAAAAUAAUAUGGGAUGCCCCAAAACUUAUUUUUCCACAUGAAAUUAGAUCCUAAUCUGAUUUCCCAUAGUGAGAAACCUUAUUUUGUCACAUAAAAUAAUAGAAUAAAAUAAGUGGGCGCA
rnacentral:lncRNA from 1 species